UAGGGAAUCUUCCGCAAUGGGCGAAAGCCUGACGGAGCAACGCCGCGUGAGUGAUGAAGGUUUUCGGAUCGUAAAGCUCUGUUGCCAGAGAAGCGGUAUCUGAGAAGAAAGCCCCGGCUAACUACGUGCCAGCAGCCGCGGUAAUACGUAGGGGGCAAGCGUUGUCCGGAAUUAUUGGGCGUAAAGCGCGCGCAGGCGGCGGUUUAAGUUUGGUGUUUAAGCCCGGGGCUCAACCCGGUUGCACUGAAAACUGGAUCGCUUGAGUGCAGGAGAGGGAAGGGAAUUCACGUGUAGCGGUGAAAUGCGUAGAGAUGUGGAGGAACACCAGUGGCGAAGGCGACUUCCUGGCCUGUAACUGACGCUGAGGCGCGAAAGCGUGGGGAGCAAACAGGAUUAGAUACCCUAGUAGU
rnacentral:rRNA from 1 species